rnacentral:rRNA from 1 species
ACGAAAAAUAACGAUACGGGACUCAUCCGAGGCCCCGUAAUCGGAAUGAGUACACUCUAAACCCUUUAACGAGGAUCAAUUGGAGGGCAAGUCUGGUGCCAGCAGCCGCGGUAAUUCCAGCUCCAAUAGCGUAUAUUAAAGUUGUUGCGGUUAAAAAGCUCGUAGUCGAAUUUGUGUCCCGCGCCGCCGGUUCAUCGCUCGCGGUGUCAACUGGCGUGUCCGCGGGACGUCCUGCCGGUGGGCUUAGCCCUUUAGGGGGCGGCCCAAUCUCAAUCCCACCGCGGUGCUCUUCAUUGAGUGUCGAGGUGGGCCGGCACGUUUACUUUGAACAAAUUAGAGUGCUUAAAGCAGGCUAAAACAUCGCCUGAAUACUGUGUGCAUGGAAUAAUGGAAUAGGACCUCGGUUCUAUUUUGUUGGUUUUCGGAACCCCGAGGUAAUGAUUAAUAGGAACGGAUGGGGGCAUUCGUAUUGCGACGCUAGAGGUGAAAUUCUUGGAUCGUCGCAAGACGGACAGAAGCGAAAGCAUUUGCCAAAAACGCUUUCAUUGAUCAAGAACGAAAGUUAGAGGUUCGAAGGCGAUCAGAUACCGCCCUAGUUCUAACCAUAAACGAUGCCAGCUAGCGAUCCGCCGACGUUCCUCCGAUGACUCGGCGGGCAGCUUCCGGGAAACCAAAGCUUUUGGGUUCCGGGGGAAGUAUGGUUGCAAAGCUGAAACUUAAAGGAAUUGACGGAAGGGCACCACCAGGAGUGGAGCCUGCGGCUUAAUUUGACUCAACACGGGAAACCUCACCAGGCCCGGACACCGGAAGGAUUGACAGAUUGAGAGC